UUUUAUGUCAUCUUUGGAGAAAUGUCUAUUUAGCUCCUUUGUCCAUCUUUUAAUUGGGUUAUAUUUUUCUUGCUAUUGAGUUGUACUAUUUCCUUAUAAAUUUUGGAUAUUAACCCCUUAUCAGAUAUACAGUUUGCAAUUUUUUUCUCAGUCCCAAGGUUACUUUUUAUUUUGUUGAUUGUUUUGUGACUAUGCAGAAGCUUUUUAGUAUGAUGUAGUCCCAUGUCAGUAUCUCCACUUUUGUAGCUUGAGCUUUUGCUGUGACAUCCAGGAUAUCGUUGCUAAGGUCUAUGUCAAGAAGCUUUUGCCCAAUGUAUUUUUCUAGUAGUUUUAUGGUUCCAGUUCUUAUGUUUAGGUAUUUUUAUCUAUUAGGAGUUGAUUUUGUAUAAAGUGUAAGAUAUGAGUCUAUUUUUAGUCUCUUUCAUUCAAAAAUCCAGUUUUACCAGCACCAUUUAUAAGACUAUUCUUUGCCCAUUGUGUCUUCUUGGUGUCCUUGUGAAAAAUUAAUUGCCCAUAUGUGUUUGAAUCUAUUUCUAGGCUUUCUAUUCUGUUCCACUAAUCAGUAUGUUUGUUUAUAUGCACAGCCGAUAUACAUGCUCAAAUGUCCGUGUUCAUUUCCUAUUGCCCUCAAGAGUGAUAGAUGCAGGAAGCAGAUAAGGAAGGGUCCCUGAAGAAUCUCCGACCCGCCCCACAAGUGUUUAUGUUUCAUGUUUUUGUGCAGACUAAUUUCUACCUUCAGCAAAAUGUCUACCAAAGUCAAGUAAUAGGGCCUGAUCUGAAGCCGCAAUGAGUCUUCAGAUGUCAAAUAUGCCCUGAAUGCUGUGAAUGCAGAAGAUGAAAUAAUUAAUAUCAACUGGGAGAGCCAAGGAGCAAUGGGGAGUUGUGAAAAUAUUUUGUCAUAUAAAUAACAUGAAAAUUCUAAACAAGACAGUGAUGCUAACGAUUAAUUGUCAGAGUCUUUUUAAGAUAAGAGUAUCAGUUUGGGAAUAUAAAGAAGUGUGUUGUUGUCAUAAAAGUGGUGACUAAGAAAGUAAAUUCCGUUACUGAAGAAUGCCCACCAAGAAUAAAGAAUUGGAUGCAAAGCACCUCCAGUGAAAUGCAGAAAUAAAAAGAUAAUUAAGUGUUCAUGAUCACUUUCCUUUGGAAUCAUAGAACUAUGCAACCUUAUUUUUCAACUACAGUGGAUGAAUGACAAACUGAAAUAAAAACCAAUGAUUUAUAUUAAGCCAGGUGGGUAUUUUGUGAUCCUAGUCAUGUAGGAAAACAUUGAUAAACAGUGAAAAUGUGACUUGACCCAUUUUUUUCUAUUAUGUUUGUCCAUAACUUGAUAGUAUGAUCCUUUCCUUUUAUUAUGUUUUAUGUAAGUAUAGAAGAACACCACAAAGCAUAAGCCGGAAUUUGCAUAUAUGACAGAGAUGUAAAGACAUUGGGAAACCUGGCAACUAAAGUUUAAAUAGUUAAAAGUGUAACAUAUAUAACAUUAUU
rnacentral:lncRNA from 10 species